rnacentral:rRNA from 1 species
AGUUCGGAUCGGAGUCUGCAACUCGACUCCGUGAAGCUGGAUUCGCUAGUAAUCGCGCAUCAGCCAUGGCGCGGUGAAUACGUUCCCGGGCCUUGUACACACCGCCCGUCAGGCCAUGGGAGCCGGGGGUACCUGAAGUCCGUAACCGCGAGGAUCGGCCUAGGGUAAAACUGGUGACUGGGGCUAAGUCGUAACAAGGUACC